GCUCUAGAUCAAACUCAUCUGAGUGUUUUCUUCCUCUCCAGUGAAUGGAUUUCAUGGCAAUGGCAAUCCGCUGCAUCAGAGUGAGCCGUCGCAUGUACUGAUGCGGAAGACCAGCACAGAUCAUCAGAGUCCCGUCUCGACUUCACCCAGCCGGAAGCAGGAGUGUGAAUCCACAGUAACUGCCGCUGGAACGUGUUAACCAACAGGGUUUUUCAAACUAUUCAGUGCUAAGGACCCGUAAAUAUGACCAUUCCCUUGCAAGGAAACCCUUUCCUAUAAUAUACAGGCAGCUAUAGAUUUUCAUUUAUGAAAACGGCCUUAUACUGUUUGAGAAAAAUAUGAUAUUAAAGACAAC
rnacentral:lncRNA from 1 species